CACAUACUCCCUCCGAAAACACUUGCCAUCAAAAUGGAUAAAAAGAGAUGUGUCUAGAACUAAAAUAUGUCUCUAGAUACAUCCCCUUUUAUCCAUUUUGAUGACAACUAUUUUCGGACAGAGGGAGUACUAG
rfam:Triticum aestivum genome assembly, contig: Triticum_aestivum_CS42_TGACv1_scaffold_404897_5BL